UCCUGUCAUCUAAAUAAACCUUCUGCUUUACUGGCUGGCUGAGAGUCAUGGUGAAUCGCAGGAAGCUGGGGGUCUUGUGUCCCCCCCACACUCCAUGACAGGCCCGCUUUGUGUAAAACAUAGAUUAAUUUUAGGGCUUGUUUCAGGAAAAAGAAAUCAACUUCCGUAGCCUAAUAUUGUAAUUUGACUACAGUAAAAUAUUGUCCCAUGGCCUUCUGCUUGGCCUUGCACACUUCCUAAGUAAAGACCUUCAUAUUUGGAUUACAAAUACCAGCUAUAGAGUAAAUGUUGGAAUUUCUACAGACCUCUUUUAAACCUGGAAAUAUUAGCCCAGAUGAAGGGAAACUGCUCUGGUUAGGAAUAAAAGAAAUGUCUUCAUGGAAAUACAUGAUACUGCCUUUCAAAAACAUGAAGUAAAACUGAAUAAAAACAGACCAGUCUAGUUUCAUUAUCCAAACUGAGUGAAAAUGGAAAAUGCAAACCAUGAAUGUAAAAGAUGACGAGUAACUGAUUUUUUUUUUUAAAGUUUAGCUGAAUUGCCUUUUAAAUAAAUAGUUGGGAGAGAAGAGGAUGGGUUGAAAUCCUAAAUCAUUAACAGAAUGCAUAUGUAGCCUUCAAAUUGCAAAGUAGUACAUUUUAAAAGUAAACAGAUUUACUUGCCCCACACCUAAAUUCAGUGAUUUUUCUUCUGCAAGAGGUGAGGGUGAUAAAAGAUCAAGGAAUUGCUUAUGUUAGGUAUGUCUUUAUCUUUCAGGAAAAAUAUAAUAACUUAAGUCAUUCAACUUAAAUAAUUAGCAUUGCACUAACUUGGAGCAGGCAGGAUUAGCAUUAGUGUGUCUAAUAAUUUGGGACACGUUUCCAUCCCUGCACUGUGUGUGAAACUUACACCAAAUAAACAUGAUUUUUUACAUUUUGAGGUAAAUAGCCAGGCUAUUACAGAUAUGUCCUCUGUGGAUCAGGCACAGAGGAUGCCAUGUAAUAUACACAGACCACGGGGUUAUACUUAUGCAUGUUUGUCAUGGGAGGAAUAUGUAAAAUGUGUAAUGAUAAUAUAUGCAAAACUACUGAAAAGGUUUUUUUAUUUCAUUUUUAAAUCCAUAUUGCACCUAUUGCUGUGGGGAAAUUUUACCAUGUAAAGGGAAAGCGCUGAAUGCAAACUUAUGAAAUGAAUGAAUAGACCUGUAUCCUAGCACACAAUAUGAUUGAUUUGAAGAGCUCAUUUGCCAUCCCCACAGCAAAAGUUCCGUCUGUGCCUCAUCGGCAGUUACAGACUAGUCCAUCUGUUUGGUAUGUGGCUCAGUUAGCCCUCUUGAGCCUGCCUAUCACCACUUCAGUGUCAACAGUGGAUGAUACAAUACAUCAGCAUCUCUACCAUUUGUCACAAUCUUGAUCCCCUACUUCUCUCCUAGAGAUUUUAAAAUAUCAAUCUGUCAGAAUCUGAAUUUCUGGUUUUAAAAGAAAGCAACAGAGGAAAGCAGGACACUUUGUAAAACUUACCAAAAAAAACAUUUUCAUAAAAUUGGUCUGCAGUGCUCUGUCACUUAAGAGCUUUGGAAUCCCUGAAAUUAAUUGUUUGUAUUGAUUAUCUUUUUACUGGUGGUGAUAGCAUUGUAAAAAAAAAAAAAAAAACACUUUAAUGUCUUUGGUACACUUUUUGAACUAUUUUGGAGAACUUGUGAUAUCACUGAGGCUAAGCAAGUGCAACCUGAUUGAGGAAUGAAGUGGCUUUUACCUGGAUUAUUUUCAACUAUUAGGUAUUUAAAAACCAUUUAACUCAAAUGCCUUCUAAACAAUGAGAACACGAUUCAACAUCUCUGCCCCUUCAUUUAAGAGGCAAGGGAGCUUCAAAUCCUCAUUUCUAGUUCCUCCACCAGAAACCUCCAGCAAAAUAAGAAAAAAACAAUACUUGACUCUUGAUAAUGUACAAAAUGAGGAAUUAAAAUAAAAAUAAAACCACA